rnacentral:rRNA from 1 species
AGUGAACGCUGGCGGUAGGCCUAACACAUGCAAGUCGAACGGCAGCACAGUAAGAGCUUGCUCUUACGGGUGGCGAGUGGCGGACGGGUGAGGAAUACAUCGGAAUCUACUUUUUCGUUGGGGAUAACGUAGGGAAACUUACGCUAAUACCGCAUACGACCUACGGGUGAAAGCAGGGGAUCUUCGGACCUUUCGCGAUUGAAUGAGCCAAGGUCGGAUUAGCUAGUUGGCGGGGUAAAGGCCCACCAAGGCGACGCUCCGUAGCUGGUCUGAGAGGGUGAUCAGCCACACUGGAACGGAGACACGGUCCAGACUCCUACGGGAGGCAGCAGUGGGGAAUAUUGGACAAUGGGCGCAAGCCUGAUCCAGCCAUACCGCGUGGGUGAAGAAGGCCUUCGGGUUGGAAAGCCCUUUUGUUGGGAAAGAAAAGCAGCAGGUUAAUACCCCGCUGUUCUGACGGUACCCAAAGAAUAAGCACCGGCUAACUUCGUG